GACCGCCGCGCCAAGCGGCUCAGGCCAUACGGACAGCCGGGUCGAAUGCCGA
rnacentral:sRNA from 1 species